ACCGGCAGUGGGCGCAGGCUCCUGGAGCCCCGCGGGCACUCGGGAGUCGUAGUCCUCGGCGUCAGCACCAGCCCCGGCGGCCUGCAGCAACGCGCGGGGUUCGGACUACAACCCCCAGCAUGCCCGCCCCAAGACCCAGCCCAGUUCCGGAGAAAGGACCCUGCACUGCGGCAUCGGGAUCGCGGAGCAGUAGCAGGUCGAAGCUGUCCAGGGGGAAGGUCUGAUGGUGACUCGUCUUCAAAGGGCCGUCACGGCAGCCAUGCUUCAUCGCUCCUGGAGGUGACGGGGUGAGGAGACCCCUCUGUGGGGACCUUUUCUCACCCACCGGGCGCGGAUGGCUCCGAGAAGGCCGCGCUGUCUUUGUGACAGAGCGCUAGCCCGCUCUUCCCGCUGCCGCCUGAGGACUGGUGCAGGUACUGGAUGCUCCCAGGGAUGGCUCGGCCCUGGCUGUCGUGGGAGGCGUAACUGUGCUCUCUCCUCCCCAGAGUCUCUCCCAGCGGCGCUCUGCCUUCUAGGCCUCCCCUGUGGGUCCUUCCCAGCCCUGCAUUUCCUCAGUUACUCGGUCACCCCUACAGAACUGCGCGCUGCGCUCCCGGAGGACAGGACAGGGCCUUGUUCGCGACAGGAUCUGUGUGCGGUCCCGCGGGUUGUAACGCGGGGCAGGCCUCUCCGUGCUGUCCACAUCGCUUGCUCUCGACCUUCAUGCAUCCUUGCUGGAAAGCACCUGUGCAAAGGGUGUGGCUGAGGAGCCCGGGGCACCAGCCCUGCCCGCACCCAUGGGGACGGUGCCCGCCUGCCCGCCUGUACUCUGUCUAGAGUUCUCUUCCUUUGUUUCUAGAAAAUAAUCUAUAAAACUGAGUCAUGCCAAUCACAGAGGUUGAAGGAGUGUUAUUAGUUAGACCAGAGUCGAGGAGCCCGAGUGCCCGCUCUGCAUCUGUUCCUGGAGGAGGGAAAACUCCAUUUUCCAUACCUAAGCAAGCCUUCUGUGGGGUUCAAGGAGCGUCUGAUGGAUCUCCCCAGUGUUUUGUAACCUGGGACCUGAUUGUUCAGUGUCUGUUGUCUUUUGUCUUUGAAUUGUUAAGACAGUGCAUACCCAGAGUAAAAAUAAUCCAAACAAGAUUUUUAAAAGUACAAAGAAAGUAAGAAUCAUCUGAAAUCCCACCACUUAACAUUUUGGUGAGCGUCCUUCCAUAAAUGCACAGAAUAUGUCGAAGUCACUGUAUAUGAUUGUGCUGUCCUGUAACCUGCUUUAUGCACACACAGUGUGUCAUGGAGGCCUCUCAAGUCUUCAGCCAGAUGCUGGUAUUACCCACUACCUAAACCUGGUUACAUAGUUACAUGAUUACACGUCUUUGCAGCGGAAAAGCACCGGUAGGCCAGCUGCAUGACACAGGCAGCAGUGUGUUGGCCUGCAGUGCUGGAAGCCACACGGUUGACCGUGGGCGUGGAUCCCAAAACACACCAGUUAAAAUACACCAGUUAUGCCCACACCCAAAAUCCUGCUCGCUGGAAGGUUGGGGAGAAGAGGAUCACAGAGUGACGAGACUCUAACAAGUAUGCACUCUCUCUCUCUCUUGUGAAAGAAGAACGAUAAACUUAAAAAAAAAAAAAAUGGCCCUGAAGCCAGAAGAACUCUGAGGCAUCCAUCACCCCUCUUUGUAUAUUUAAUUCUAAUCAUCGCUCAUAUUUGUGUAGUACCUUAGAACUUAAGAAGCAUUUUCCUGUUACUUCAUUUGAUUAUUAAAAAGUGAGAUGAU